rnacentral:rRNA from 1 species
GUAGCUCCUCAAAGUUAGUGGCGGAGUUGGUUCACACUCUAGACGUAGUAAUUUCUUAUCUCGCCUAUCAGUUGGACUAAUCCCCUGCCGUAAAACCCCCAAUUUUUAAAGGUUGACCUCGAAUCGGUUCAGAUAAACUCGCUAAAUUGAAGCAUCUUAGUCAGCGAAGGAAAAGAAACCAACAGGGAUUGCCCUAGUAACGGCGAGUGAAGCGGCAACAGCUCAAAUUUGAAAUCUGGCCUCCGGGUCCGAGUUGUAAUUUGUAGAGGAUGCUUUUGGCGCGGUGCCUUCCGAGUUCCCUGGGACGGGACGCCUUAGAGGGUGAGAGCCCCGUACGGUUGGACACCAAGCCUCUGUAAAGCACCUUCGACGAGUCGAGUAGCUUGGGAAUGCUGCUCUAAAUGGGAGGUAAAUUUCUUCUAAAGCUAAAUAUUGGCCAGAGACCGAUAGCGCACAAGUAGAGUGAUCGAAAGAUGAAAAGCACUUUGAAAAGAGGGUUAAAUAGCACGUGAAAUUGUUGAAAGGGAAGCGUUUGCGACCAGACCUUUUCCUAGCGGAUCAUCCGGUGUUCUCACCGGUGCACUUCGCUAGGUUUAGGCCAGCAUCGGUUUCUGUAGGGGGAUAAAAGCUCUGGGAACGUAGCUCCUCCGGGAGUGUUAUAGCCCUCUGCAUAAUACCUUUACGGGGACCGAGGACCGCGCUCGGC